ACAAUAUAAAAGCCGCCGGGUCCAUCACAAAUGAUAUCCCAACAAGUGACCAUGCAAUUGGUUGUGAGGAAAAAUGAGAGCAUCUCCAAAGCCGCAAAGCCGGGCAUCCAGAGCCACAGAGCCUACAAGCUCAAGGUUGCCUGUUCAAAGGUGACUGUCCUGCCUCGCUGCUAAUUUGUGUGGAGGCCAUAUGAAAGUGCCUGGACAUGUGUCGCAGGCAUAGAACAACAAUCAGCGUUGCGGAGACACCAAAUGGUUGCUUCGAGUCUUCAAACCAUAGUAGAGUGUGAUCGAUGUACUUCUUAUUGCCAACAGAGAUUUUUAUUUGACUCAAUGUGGAACGAUUUUACUAUCUGACGACCUAAGCAGGGCGAUUGAUGUUGUGACAGGAUCCAAUUCUUGUUGACAAAGAGGGAAGAAAAAAGGAUGUUUUCAAGAGGCAAACGCAUCAAAAUUUUUGAGUCUCUAACGGUCCAGUCAGCCUAAAUGUUUCAAGAAGUUAAGAUACGUGAUUGAUUAGGACUGGAGACUUCACCAUUUGAACUAAAUGGCAACACAGAUUGUGAUGUGUGAAUAUGGGCAUGUAUUCACCGGUUGCUGGUCAAGAGAGAACACUCUCCCUCAAUGAAUGCUGUACUAAACACCUGGAGGGCUUCAAUGUCAAGUGCAGAAGUGAGAUGCAGUCAUCCAAGAGUUGAGUCCUUGCUUCUUCAAUCCAAUCUGAGAAGAGAGUGGUGUGGUGGAUGCAUCAUUUUGACCAACUGACACAAGCCUUGCUACUUCAAUCCAAUCUGAGAAGAGAGUGGUGUGGUGGAUGCAUCAUUUUGACCAACUGACACAAGCCUUGCUUCUUCAAUCCAAUUUGAGAAGAGAGUGGUGUGGUGAUGCGUCAUUUUGACCAACUGUGCUCGACCCCCAUUUGUUGUACUAUUGUGAGUAAGAAUAUAUCCCGAGAUGGUUGGACUGUCCUUGCGAAGACCAAGCUCAAUAUUAUGUUAAUCUUCUGAACCAAUGGGAUUGUGAGCUUAUGCUCUGUUAUUGUGUUAGGCAAGAGUUGCUUCAGAUUGGCAAUGGCUUUUAACUUGGUUUCCAAUUUUUUAGAGGAGUUGCUCUCAAAUCUUUUAACUCUCAACUUGCCCAAAAUUUCCUUUGGAUCAGUCUUUACUCAAAUACCCCAAGUCAGUUUUUCUUCUUGCUGUCUUUUGAUGGCCAAAAGUGCAGAAUUAGAAAUGGUGUAAAAUGAACCAUAUUCAAACAGAGUCUCAAAUUUAUAGUUUGUGUUAGGGGUUUGUCACAUUUUCCCCUUCAUCUGCUGAUGUUUAGCAGAACCGUAGGUUCAUUUUAUGGUCCUUUUACACUUGAUGUGAGCAUUUCAGUUCAGAGAAUUCACAUUCAUUCCAUUUUUCUUUCUUUCAUUCAAAACCCUGAAGAAAAGUGUGGAGGUUAAUUUUAUUCAUGCUUUAACGUCAUAUCUCUUCUUUAAAGAGAAGCACUGAAAAUGAACACUGGUUGAGUCGGCUUUUAAAUUUCACAACAAAUGAAGUUUUGUUUACUCACUUGGUUUACACUUGUCCAAACUUAAUGAUAGUAUCCAUGCUAAAGGGCGCCCUUUUUCAUGGCUAUUCUCUAAGCAUAUUUUUUGGAAGAACAUUAAGCUGUGUAGUGGAGUGUGAUGGCAUGUGGUAGUUGGAUGGUGAUGGUAUAGGUGCACAGCUAUGGGGCCCCCUGUGUUAUUUAGAUCGUAGAUAGUGACUCCAUGUUAUUUUGUGUGCUACAAUGUUCUUCCCAAAAUAUGCUUUAAAUUAUUGUAGAGGUAGAAGCUAGGAAAUAAUCCAGAUUCUAGAAUCCAGAAUCAUAGCCUUCGUCUGCUUCCUGGAAGGAAAAUGUAGAGUUCAGUAGGAACAGAAUUAGACACUUUCCAAGCUCCACAUGGAGUGGAUACAGCUUUACUGAUGAUGACAGUUAAUUAACAAGAAACACCUGUACAACAAUAGUGCAAUAGAAAACAACUCAACAUAACAUGAAGCAUAAUGAAGUGCCAUAAAAUCUGGGAAAUGUGGCAAACUUUGACACACAUGGGGUAGAACCUUCCGCACAACACAGGUAGUAUGUUGAAGCCGACUCUUCCUUUCACAAUGUUGAAAAUCAAUUUCAUGAAAUCAUAUCAUUGAGACUAGAGGUGUUUCUCAAUUUUCCAGUUAAUGCUUUUCCACAAGUUAUGCAUUUUGGUGAUCUUGUUCAAACUUCCCUUGCUGUUGAUCACUCACGCUCUCACAAUGCUGAAAGUGAUUGUUUCUUAGAAUCUCGUCAGUUUCCCCCCUUCUGCCAGUGAGCAUCCCUUUGGGAGAUUCAGAUUCAUGGUCAUUUUCAUACGUGGCCUGUCAUCGCCUUAAUAGGAACAAGCCCCCUCAUGAAUUGUGAAUUUAGACUCUGUUUGAGCUCCUCACUUUUUCUGUUUUUGUGCUUUGUCACAGCACAAUUUUUUCACUUUUGAUGGCUUAAAAGAGCACUAUUGGAAUUAAAGUUAGCUGCUCAAGAGGGCACAGAUGCCCAGUUUUCUUAAAAUUAUAUUUGUCCUGGGAUUUUAAAUGUAAAUUCUGAUCUGGGGGAUGUGAAAUGGGCCAGCAUUGAGUAAUUUUUUAUAAGCUAAUUAGAUGAGCCGUUGUUGAAGCCUCUCUUCCAUUCACUUUGAUGGUGGUGUUUACUCCUCAUGCUUUCUUAAAAGGCACUUCAAUUAAAAAAUUUAGCAGGUGCGCAAGUCAGACUUGAAUUCUUUUCUGUACGGUUACCCUGUACUCUUGCAAUGUUAAUUCUUUGUUAAUUAUGAUGCUGUGUUUUUUCAUGUGGUAUUUUUUAACUUUUUUGUUACUUUGUCGAUCGCGUUCAACAAUGGCUUUAUGAAGGAGAAAUGGAAUUGUUAUAGCUAAAAUCAUUUUGAGAGGAUGGUGUUUGGUUUGUUUUAUAUCAAAUUGUUGAGAAAAAAUGUUAAAAUGAUUCAUGAUAUAGAUGAGCGUUUAGAUGAUUUUGAAAAUUUUCCCUUCACUUGUUGAUCAUUGAAUUGAACUCUGAUAAUUUUUGAAAAUAUGCUAUAUUUGGUUUGCUUUUUUAAAUUUGUUACCAAAAAUGAAGUAAGAUGUAGAUGAAUGUCAAGUUUUCUUCUUGUAUCAAAAUUUACUUGGAGUUCUUUCCUAUUCGUAAAUUUUAAAAAUUUAAGCUAGUUAGAUGACCUUUGUAAGCCUCUCUUCCAUUGACUUUGAUGGUUGUGUUUUUUGUUUUCUUUUACCAAGCUUCUUGAAAGGCACUUUUUUUUAUUUUGAAAUGUUAUGUGCUUAAGUCAGUAGGAAUGUGGUGGUGUAAGCCUGUACUCUUACAUUAUUGGUUCUUCGUCACGAUGCUGUGUGUUGUUCAUAGUAGUAUUUUUUAACUUAUUACUUUGUCAGUUGUGUUCAAUAAUAGCUAAAUUAGGAGAAAUGGAAAUGUUAUAUCUUAUAUCUUAAAGAGGAUGGUGUUAUUAGUUUGUUUUAUUUCAAAUUGUUAUGAAAAAACGUAGGAAUGAUUCAUGAUGGAUGAUAGUGUAAAUUUUCCCGUCACUUGUUGAAGAGUAUUAUUGAAUUCAGGAAUAUGUAGGUCAAGAUGGUGAAUCUAAUCCAUUGUCUAAUGUUGUUCAGUAUGUUCCUUUUACGAUGUAUUUUAACCAUUUUUUUCUGUUAUUUUCAAUUUGUGAUUACUGUAUUGUCAGUGACUUUUCCCCUUUGCUUGCCCUAAAAAAAAUGUCGGGAGAAACAGUCCCCCCGGCGAGUGCACACCAAAACGUUAAAGGCUUCGGUAAAACAAAAGGGGAGAAACAGUGAACCCCUCCGUUGCCACUAUUUCUUAAGUCAAGUUAAACAGCCAGCCAGGAUCCCUGAGUCCGGGGAACUGGCGGUGUGAACACUCGGGCUUAACUUCAGUCCCUUUUUCCUAGUUGGUGUUUCUGAUAACUCUGAUAAUUUUUGAAAAACUGCUGUAUUUGAUUUGCUGCUUGGUUUUCCUUUUUUUUAAAUUGUUAAUUAAAAUGAAGCGAUGUAGAUGAAUGUCAAGUUUUCCUUUUAUACCGAAAUUCACUGGAGUUCUAUUCUUGAGAAAUAUGUUUGUGACAUUUGGUGGUAAAUAUUGAAAAUUUAAGCUAAUUAGAUGACCUUUGUAAGCCUCUCUUCCAUUGACUUUGAUGGUUGUGUUUUUUGUUUUCUUUUACCAAGCUUCUUGAAAGGCACUUUUUUUUAUUUUGAAAUGUUAUGUGCUUAAGUCAGUAGGAAUGUGGUGGUGUAAGCCUGUACUCUUACAUUAUUGGUUCUUCGUCACGAUGCUGUGUUUUGUUCAUAGUAGUAUUUUUUAACUUAAUACUUUGUCAGUUGUGUUCAAUAAUAGCUAAAUUAGGAGAAAUGGAAAUGUUAUAUCUUAUACCUUAAAGAGGAUGGUGUUAUUAGUUUGUUUUAUUUCAAAUUGUUAUGAAAAAACGUAGGAAUGAUUCAUGAUGGAUGAUAGUGUAAAUUUUCCCGUCACUUGUUGAAGAGUAUUAUUGAAUUCAGGAAUAUGUAGGUCAAGAUGGUGAAUCUAAUCCAUUGUCUAAUGUUGUUCAGUAUGUUCCUUUUACGAUGUAUUUUAACCAUUUUUUUCUGUUAUUUUCAAUUUGUGAUUACUGUAUUGUCAGUGACUUUUCCCCUUUGCUUGCCCUAAAAAAAAUGUCGGGAGAAACAGUCCCCCCGGCGAGUGCACACCAAAACGUUAAAGGCUUCGGUAAAACAAAAGGGGAGAAACAGUGAACCCCUCCGUUGCCACUAUUUCUUAAGUCAAGUUAAACAGCCAGCCAGGAUCCCUGAGUCCGGGGAACUGGCGGUGUGAACACUCGGGCUUAACUUCAGUCCCUUUUUCCUAGUUGGUGUUUCUGAUAACUCUGAUAAUUUUUGAAAAACUGCUGUAUUUGAUUUGCUGCUUGGUUUUCCUUUUUUUUUAAAUUGUUAAUUAAAAUGAAGCGAUGUAGAUGAAUGUCAAGUUUUCCUUUUAUACCGAAAUUUACUGGAGUUCUAUUCUUGAGAAAUAUGUUUGUGACAUUUGGUGGUAAAUAUUGAAAAUUUAAGCUAAUUAGAUGACCUUUGUAAGCCUCUCUUCCAUUAACUUUGAUGGUUGUGUUCUUUUUUUUACCAAGCUUCUUGAACGGCACUUUUCUUUUUAUUUUGAAAUGUUACCUGCGCAAGUCAGUAGGAAUGUUUUGGUGUAAGCAUCAUGACGAGAACUAACAAUAUAAGAGUACAGGAUGUGUUUUUUUGUCAUGUGGUAUUUUUUAACUUUCUAUGGUACUUUGUCGUUUGUGUUUAACAAUGGCUAAAUUAAGGAGAAAUGGAAAUGUUUUAUCUUGGAUGGAUUUAGGUUUGUUUGAUUUCAAAUUGAUAUAAAAAUAAAAUUUUAAAAAACUGAUA